GAGUCCUUACCUCGUUUUUGCAAAGUUUGUUUCAUCAUGUACUGACACAAUCCUUGUUGCAGAAUGCCGCCCCCUUCAACCCAAGACAUGGUGAUACCUGCAAAUGCAGUAGGUAAAGUGUUGGGCAAAGGUGGGGCAAACAUUGCUAACAUCCGGAAGAUCUCAGGAGCAAUUAUAGAGAUCCUUGACUCAAAGACAUCGCGUGGUGACCGAAUUGCCCAGAUAGCUGGCACGCCUGAUCAGAAGCGUUCGGCUGAGAACUUGAUUCAGGCCUUCAUAAUGGCCACAUGAGAUUUCUGGAUCUUGGUGGUAUUUGAAGAUGAAUUUAAUUUAUAUUCAGAGAUUUCUUCCCCAGAGGAUUCCUCUUCAUGUUUCUUUUAGGUGUUGCUCCAGAGGAAUUAAUGUUCGUAGGAUUCUCCUACUGGAACUCCUAUUACCUCCAUAACAGAGCCUACUUGAGAUUUAUUGGCGGAUUCACACUCGGCUUUUCAUUGGGAGCUAGGCUUCUGUCUUAAGUUGCUCAAUCUUUUCCCUUGUCUCAAAAUAUCUUAGAACUUAAAUAGGAUCUUUCUUUCCUGUUUGGUUUUUAAUCAUGCCUUAUCUUGGACAAGCGUAGACUCCAUCUUAUUUCCAGUGUGGUGCUGUGCUCUUUAAGAUGUUCACUCCAGUAAUAUACUCUUUAAUGACCUUAACUUGGUUCAUUGCUACUCAAGUACUCAUGAUAUAUAUGUUUGCUUUAUUUUUCUUGUCUUUCAA